rnacentral:rRNA from 1 species
UACGGGAGGCAGCAGUGGGGAAUAUUGCACAAUGGGCGCAAGCCUGAUGCAGCCAUGCCGCGUGUAUGAAAAAGGCCUUCGGGUUGUAAAGUACUUUCAGUCGUGAGGAAGGUGUUAAGGUUAAUAACCUUAUCAAUUGACGUUAGCGACAGAAGAAGCACCGGCUAACUCCGUGCCAGCAGCCGCGGUAAUACGGAGGGUGCGAGCGUUAAUCGGAAUUACUGGGCGUAAAGGGCACGCAGGCGGUUAAUUAAGUUGGAUGUGAAAUCCCCGGGCUUAACCUGGGAAUGGCAUUCAAGACUGGUUAGCUAGAGUCUUGUAGAGGGGGUAGAAUUCCAUGUGUAGCGGUGAAAUGCGUAGAGAUGUGGAGGAAUACCGGUGGCGAAGGCGGCCCCGUGGACAAAGGACUGACGCUCAUGUGCGAAAGCGUGGGGAGCGAAACAGGGAUUAGAUACC